rnacentral:rRNA from 1 species
CAGGCCUAACACAUGCAAGUCGAGCGAGAAAGGGGAAACCCCGGUAAAGCGGCGCACGGGUGAGUAACACGUAGGUAAUUUACCCCUUGGUGGUGGAUAACCUUCCGAAAGGAGGGCUAAUACAGCAUAAGACCACGUCUUCGCAAGGAGAUGAGGUCAAAGCCGGCCUCUUCAUGAAAGCUGGCGCCGAGGGAUGAGCCUGCGGCCCAUCACGGUAGUUGGUAGGGUAAUGGCCUACCAAGCCUAAGACGGGUAGCUGGUCUGAGAGGAUGAUCAGCCACACUGGAACUGAGACACGGUCCAGACUCCUACGGGAGGCAGCAGUGGGGAAUCUUGCGCAAUGGGCGAAAGCCUGACGCAGCGACGCCGCGUGAGUGAUGAAGGCCUUCGGGUUGUAAAGCUCUGUGGGGAGGGACGAAUAAGUGCUGGCUAACAUCCAGCGCGAUGACGUGACCGAUUUAGCAAGCACCGGCUAACUUUGUGCCAGCAGCCGCGGUAAU